UACGUAGGUGACAAGCGUUGUCCGGAUUUACUGGGCGUAAAGAGCGCGCAGGCGGUCGAUCAAGUCGAGUGUGAAAGCCCCCGGCUCAACUGGGGAGGGUCAUUCGAUACUGAUCGACUCGAAGGCAGGAGAGGGUAGUGGAAUUCCCGGUGUAGUGGUGAAAUGCGUAGAUAUCGGGAGGAACACCGAUUGCGAAGGCAGCUCGCUGGAACGUUACUGACGCUGAGACGCGAAAGCGUGGGGAGCAAACAGG
rnacentral:rRNA from 1 species